UGCUAAUCUGUUAAACUAGCAGGACCAUCCCGAUUGAUUCCCACUUCUUGGGGCCAUUGACAUGGUUAUUUGCUAUACAGCUAUUUAAGGGGAUUAAGUUUUCACUAGAACAGACCCACGUGAUCUUUGGAGAGAAUGAGACCUGAUUCGGAUCUGAUCUGGAAAAAACUCUGGUGAUGAAAUCUACAGCAUAAGCCAGUCAUCAGUAAACCAUCACGACGACAGAUCUCUGCCGUGUGAAAUCGGGGGUGACCCCCGUCCCCAACAGACUCAUCCCUCUGUCACGCCCCCCUUCAGCAGUUCUGGGGCGACCCCCAGCACCGCUGCAGUCUGAGAGCCAGGCAUAUUUUUGAGCUUCUCAGUGCGGCCGUAGAGCAGCUCUGGGUUGACCCCGUCCCAGACACACUCCAAACGAGUUGCCAUACCGAUCUCCCUCACGAUCACCGCGCUGCUACCGUCAACUUUAUGGUUACACCAACUGAAUAAGCUGGAGGCGUCUGAUAGCGGUGUGGUUUUCUCCAGCAGUGAGACAUUUUUGAUUUCCUUUCUAUUUUCUUGUGAUGGGGUGAUUUCAUAAACGGUCAAACAUGGGUGAUUUAGCAGCUGGAGAAACGUCGUUUCUGCAUUGUUUGAAUGGUAUAAUCCCCCUAAGCGAAGAU